rnacentral:rRNA from 1 species
GACAGAGGGUGCAAACGUUGUUCGGAAUUACUGGGCGUAAAGAGUGUGUAGGCGGUUCUGUAAGUUUGGUGUGAAAUCUCCCGGCUUAACUGGGAGGGUGCGCCGAAAACUGCAAGGCUUGAGUGCUGGAGAGGAUAGCGGAAUUCCUGGUGUAGCGGUGAAAUGCGUAGAUAUCAGGAGGAACACCGGCGGUGUAGACGGCUAUCUGGACAGUAACUGACGCUGAGACACGAAAGCGUGGGGAGCAAACAGG